rnacentral:rRNA from 1 species
UACGAAGGGGGCUAGCGUUGCUCGGAAUUACUGGGCGUAAAGGGCGCGUAGGCGGACAGUUUAGUCAGAGGUGAAAGCCCAGGGCUCAACCUUGGAAUUGCCUUUGAUACUGGCUGUCCUGAGUGCGGGAGAGGUGUGUGGAACUCCGAGUGUAGAGGUGAAAUUCGUAGAUAUUCGGAAGAACACCAGUGGCGAAGGCGACACACUGGCCCGUAACUGACGCUGAGGCGCGAAAGCGUGGGGAGCAAACAGG